UAAUACAUGCAAGUCGGACGGGAUUGAGAGCUUGCUCUCAUGAGAGUGGCGCACGGGUGCGUAACACGUAUGUAACCUACCUUUAUCUGGGGGAUAGCCUCUCGAAAGAGAGAUUAACACCGCAUAAAAUCACAGUACGGCAUUGUACAAUGAUCAAAUAUUUAUAGGAUAAAGAUGGGCAUGCGGGACAUUAGCUAGUUGGCGGGGUAACGGCCCACCAAGGCUACGAUGUCUAGGGGAUCUGAGAGGAUGGCCCCCCACACUGGUACUGAGACACGGACCAGACUCCUACGGGAGGCAGCAGUAAGGAAUAUUGGUCAAUGGAGGCAACUCUGAACCAGCCAUGCCGCGUGCAGGAAGACGGCCCUAUGGGUUGUAAACUGCUUUUAUACCGGAAUAAACCCCUUUACGUGUAAAGGGUUGAAUGUACGGUAGGAAUAAGGAUCGGCUAACUCCGUGCCAGCAGCCGCGGUAAUACGGAGGAUCCAAGCGUUAUCCGGAUUUAUUGGGUUUAAAGGGUGCGUAGGCGGCCUGUUAAGUCAGGGGUGAAAGACGGUGGCUCAACCAUCGCAGUGCCUUUGAUACUGACGGGCUUGAAUGCAGCUGAGGUAGGCGGAAUGUGACAAGUAGCGGUGAAAUGCAUAGAUAUGUCACAGAACACCAAUUGCGAAGGCAGCUUA
rnacentral:rRNA from 1 species